UCUCUUCCCUACAGUAGCCUGGAAUAUGGCUUUGGGAUGGAGCAUCAGACUCUUUAAAACCAGAACUUUUAUCACAAUAUCAAAGUGUGAAUGAGAAGAAUGAGAAAAGACCAAAUUCAGACUGCAGUGGUGAUCAUAAAUUAAGUCAAAGGCACAGUGGAAAUGAGAGCUCAGGGAGAGAGGCACAUUCAUGAAAUGCCAGAAGAAGGACUACAGUGGGUCUCCAGCCAUUACAUGCUGAAGGAGAGGCAUUAAUUACCCGAGAUACCUGAGCAGCCUUGUUUUCCACAGGCGUACCCCUCUUGGGGCAAACAGAAGCAGUGAAAAUCUUUACUCAUCAGAGAGAUAAAUGACGAGAAGAGACUAUCUCGUAUUCAGCUGAAUUCCGCCAGCAUGUCUAGAUGGAGUGGCUGUCCGCCAAACUGUCCAAAAGAGAGCAAGCCUGGGAAGUCGCUCUCCAGCACUGAGGUGGACUGCUCCUACAAGCCUGCUGCUGAUUAAGAGCCACAUGUUCCAAGGGCAACAAGAACUUGUGAUUCUGAGAAAUAAGACUGACUCUGUCCAGUUGGGUGGCUCAGAAUUUCCUUGGUUGUGGAAGGAAUAAAAAAAAAAAUGAGAAACUUGGAGACUUUGGGGCAGAAUUCAGUCUUCUCUUCAUGUGUUUUUUCCCGAAAUAGGAUGAUUUAAAAAAAAAAAAUCUAUUGCCCAGUAGA